UCCAUCAUACACCUGUGCUUUUUCUACCAUGACCUGUCAUAGGUGAAACAUACAGUAUAAGACCGGGAAACCACAAUUUAAACACCUGCGUUUGUGACAGAUUGAGACACUCUUUUCUUGGCAGAAGUAAUAAAGGGAGAAGAUUAUGAAGAGAGGCUUCUCCCUGUGAGCCAAUAACAUUAUAAUGUCUAACAGAGCACAUAAAACACUGUAAUAAUCACAAACUCAGCUCAGCUAUUUAUAUCAUCUGCACGUUUAUUCAUCAGUCAGAAAACACACACACACGUCUCUCAAUCAUCCAUUGAGUCAGUGAGUACAGUGGUUUAUUGGCAACACAGAAGUUCAGAGGCACUGACAGUGUACUGAGGUUUUCACAGAGAAUAUUGAUGUGUGUGUGUGUGUGUGUGUGUAGAUAUACACAGUUUAUACUGUCCUGCAGGGGGCACUGCUUUGAGGUUGGGGGGAGGAUGGAGGUGUGGAAGGGAGGUCCUGAAUUCUGACUGACUCAUACUGAACACCAGGAUACACAGGCUUUUCUCAAUGUGAGGCUCUUCCAUCACAGCUCAGUGACUGAGAACGGGAGUUCUGGACAGCCAAAUGCACAGGAAUCCAGCUCCUACAACAACCAUCAAAUGAUAGGUGAUAAUGAUGAUAGAUGGAUGAUGGUUGAAUACAAUGGCUUCGUUGGAAACUGCAUAAAAUUGGGGCCGCUUCGUUGUUACCUUCGCUGCAACACACAAAAACACUUCAGUUUGGACCAAAAAGUGAAUCAACACUAUUCUGAUCUUACGCCUGAACCGACAAACCAGCCAGAACAUGGAUUAUGCAAGUGGAGCUGAAGACAAAAAAGAACGGCAUCCUUUCUGGCCAACAGCUGUGUCAAAACCCACCGCAUUGGAAGCUUUCAUCUGGAAUCCAAUCAGACGCCAAAUGGCUGUGAUUCAUGGACCCAAAAUAACACUCUGGGGUGUUUGUGUUUCCGACUGCUGCUAACUGAUGGUGUGUCCGUCCCGUCAAACCGGCUGCCUGCCUGUCACCUCGCCUCACUGACCUCAGGAAAAGGAUCGCCCCCCUCUCGACCAGACUAGACGCUUAUUGGCUCCCAGGUCGUUUGAGACCCCUGCUUUAAAGUGAGUCAUGUGACCAGGAUCAGGUGAGUGAAGGCUGUAGAAACUCAGAGUUAUAAUAUUCAUAUCAGAUACAAAACGUGGUAUCAGGCCUUCCAUCGUUGAGAUGUUUGUCUAAAUCAAAUUUCUAUACAGUAGUUAAUAUGUCGAUGGUUGUGUUGUAAUGCUCCAAUGAGUGACAUUUUCAAACUCUGUGGCAGCAGCCUCGUAAAGAACUAUGUCAUCGAGACUUAACUGUGCAGAUUAACAGUGUCGAUUUCACUCAGUUGAGACUAUCUCAGUGCAGAGGGAAGAAGAAUGGGUUAAUCCAGAAGUAGAUGAUUAUAACUAAACGAGAUCGAUGAGGCCUUCUGCAAAACAUGUUUUAUUUGCGUGAGCAGUUCAAAGAACACAGUGUGCUCCCACACAAUAGAUCUGACUUUUUCACCACAGUGUUUUUAUCUUGACCAUGGUUUCAAUUAGCUGGCCCUAUUCUUUCUUCCCUGACAUGCUCUCCUUUAUGUGUUUCCUCUCAAUGGAAAAUACUUAUAUAUUCAUUGUAGUUUUGCAGUGUUGCAGUGUUGCACUGCCUUUUCAUAGUUUCAUUGUGAGCUUGUAUUGAAUGUACAGUAUGUGGGGCAAGGUCAGUGUUUCUCCUCCCCUCAGAGACGCAGAUCCAGGCCCAUGAAGUGUGAUCCACGGAGAUGCAGCAGUGGACUUUGCUGCAAAGUCAAAAAAACAUCCAUUCAUCCAUUUUCUACCGCUUUAUUCUCCACAUGAGUGUCAUGAACUACGGUCAAUUCACUUAAUCCCCAUACUGCAUGUUUCUGGACUGUGGGUGGAAACCGGAGAAAAUCAACACACAAACAUGGGGAGAACAUGCAAACUC